rnacentral:pre_miRNA from 1 species
AUAUGAAUUACUUGGAAAAGCUUUAGUUUAAAUGCAUAUUUUAAUUCAGAGUUUGGGAGAAUCUACAUUUCUAAUAAAUUCCCAGGUGAUGUUGAU